UAGAGUUGACUGAAGUCAAACUUUGUAAACUUUGACCAAGUUUAUAGAAAAGAAUAUAAAUAUUUACGAUAACAAAUCUAUAUGAUGCGAAAGUACAUUCAAUAAUGAAUCUAAUGAUACUGUUUUGUUAUUGUACAUGUUAAUAUUUUUUUCUAUAAAUUCCGUCAAAGUUUACAAAGCUUGACUUUGAUCAAAGUUAA
rnacentral:pre_miRNA from 1 species